CGGAAAUUGUUUAAAUAUAUAUAAACAGAACUCACAAAGAAAAGGAAGGUGUCUGACAGUGUUUUAUCACUAUCUAGGGUAUUGUCACCUAUGUGUUCUCAUACCCCCAACGGUGUUGAGAUAAACAGUAUCUACCUCUGUAUGCAUUGAUUGGCCAGAGAUUAAUUCUGUAUUCAUAGAGGUAGGGGCUGGACUGCACUAUAAGAGACCUUGCCAGAAUUCCAAAUGCUUUAUUUGAAGAAGACCUCACUUCAUCGAUAAACCAGCCAGAAAAUCCCCUCAAGACUUUUCAUCACCCAAAGUAAAGGUGAAUCCCUUCCACGAUAUACUCUUCAGGGGUAUGGACCAAGGAACGAGGAACAAAUGCAUAGUUCUUCUCAUGUUGAUGUUAUAUGUGACAGAGACUCAAGCAGUUAGUGUUUACCACCUCUGUGGGAUACAACUUGUGGAUACUCUACUUAUGGUGUGUGAAGGCAAAGGUUUCUACUACAGAUCUUCCAAGGGCCAACCACAUGGUGAUUUUGCUAGUCGGAAUAAAAAAAAGAUUGGCAUAGUGGAGAAAUGUUGCCAUCACAAAUGCAGUUUAAAUGAACUCCAGGCCUACUGCAAGUCUUGAUAUCUUCAACAGAAACUGGAAAACGUAUUGCACAUGCGCACAAAUGAGCCUGACAGUAGAGAGAUACCUGAAAGCGAUGGUUUUGUUGUCUCACCUGUGUGUUGGUUUUGUUUGUCUUGUUUAAUGGUUUGUUGAAACUUCGAACUGUUUGAUGGAAGCUGCCCGGAAUCAAGGCUGAACAGUAAAGGAUACAUUAGAAUCUGCAUAGAACAAGCUCACCACCUAAACAUAGGUUCCAAUUUUGUAUAUAUGUUGGCUAGUUAAUCACUUAGUAGUUUGUGGUAUCUAUAUCAUUCCCUCCUUCACCCACCUGCCUAAAGCUUCCACAUUUGCUCAUUAGAUUUUUCACUUACUGUAAGUAGCAAAAAAAAAGGAAGGGUGAGAGGUUGGGAAGCUUUGGGCAGAUAUACCCAUGUUUCUGCACCCAACAAAAUGUGGUUCCUAUAGAACCACAAAAAAAACGAUUGUGAUAUUAUAUAAUCUGUAAGACUAAAAAUCUGGUUGUCCAAUGCUGAUUAAUGUUAUAUCUUCAUUAAAAAUAAUAAAAUGUAUUUUUAAAUGCAACUAGUGUGAGUGGUUGAAUGCAUCUUUACAUAAACUUUCCAUCAUUUUCUGCACAGUAGAACGCAGGGAUUGCUCACAGGAGAAGAAACCAGAGUGAGCAAUGUUGAUUACCUAUAGGUGGUGUUAGCCUUCCAAUACACAUGCACCAAUUGCACAAUUCAAACAGUUUUAUAUAAGGUGUAAGAUUGGAGUGAUCAGACUCCAGUGGUAGGUGCGUUUUUAGUGAGUAUGCCAGUCCAGAACUGAAUUUUUA